GUUUGCAACAACAACAACAACUGUCACUGUGAUGACGGCUGGGCUCCACCCUUUUGUAAGAAAAGUGGGCGAGGUGGCAGCAAGGACAGUGGACCUGGCAGAGCUUUAAAAAGAGAAACGUUUAACCCGAUUCCUCUGGCCGUUGCAAUCAUUGCACCAGCCUUGGCACUGCCAAUUCUCAGCCUCUCCUUGCAGUGCAGAAGAAAGAAGAAAGUUAAAGCACGUGGAAGAUCUGCAGUGAAAACCGUUGGAAGUGGUCGUUCCAGAGCUCCAUUGGCUGCUUCCCCUGAAGUCCAGAGUUCCCAUCUAAAUAGUGCAGUGUGACAGUCUGAGCUGAUUCAGACAUCGACCAGAUACAACAACCCAUCCACUGUACACGAUAACUACAAGUGCCGCUCGUGAUCACACCUGUUCUCCACGUUCAUCUUGUAUUUAAACCCUGGAACAUGUGGGGAAGGUGUGCUGACCAGAGACAAUCCAUGAACACAAUCCUGUUUAAUCUGAUCGAUAUCCCACUGAAGCAAACAUUCACAGUGGGACAAGAAAGUACGAGGGUGAUCUGCUGAGCAACCGGUACUCUUCCUGAUGAUGAACUUCGGCUAUUUACUCAGCAAUAGUUCUUAUGCAGAGCGUAAACAAUAGCACACCAAGUGAUUGUUUGUGCUUUAUCAUGGGAAUACGGCUACUCCUGGCAACUUCGUGAAGAUCUAACUCUGACCAAUAAACUGAUCAAACAAUGACCAAUCCAGGACUAAAUGGAGUUGAUGGCUGAAACUUAUAUCCAAUAUAGACGGACACUUAAAUAGGCAAGGCAUAGAGGGAUGCGGUCCUAAUGUGGGCAAAUGGGGUUAAUGUAGACAGUCAAAAGGGUCGGCAUGGAUGUAAUGGGCCAAAAUGCCUGUUUCUAUGUGCAACUCUAUG